rnacentral:rRNA from 1 species
AACGAACGCUGGCGGCAUGCCUAACACAUGCAAGUCGAACGAGACGUUCGGGUCUAGUGGCGCACGGGUGCGUAACGCGUGGGAACCUGCCCUUAGGUUCGGACUAACUCCCCGAAAGGGGUGCUAAUACCGGAUAAUGUCUUCGGACCAAAGAUAUAUCGACUUUGGAUGGGCCCGCGUUGGAUUAGCUAGUUGGUAGGGUAAAAGCCUAUCACGGCGACGAUCCAUAGCUGGUCUGAGAGGAUGAUCAGCCACACUGGGACUGAGACACGGCCCAGACUCCUACGGGAGGCAGCAGUGGGGAAUAUUGGACAAUGGGCGAAAGCCUGAUGCAGCAAUGCCGCGUGAGUGAUGAAGUCAGUAGAGUUGUAAAGCUCUUUUACCCGUGAUGAUAUUGACAGUACCGGGAGAGAAAGCCCCGGCUAACUCCGUG